rnacentral:rRNA from 1 species
UACGUAGGGUGCAAGCGUUGUCCGGAAUUAUAGGGCGUAAAGAGCUCGUAGGCGGUUUGUCGCGUCUGCUGUGAAAACUGGGGGCUCAACCCCCAGCCUGCAGUGGGUACGGGCAGACUAGAGUGCGGUAGGGGAGAUUGGAAUUCCUGGUGUAGCGGUGGAAUGCGCAGAUAUCAGGAGGAACACCGAUGGCGAAGGCAGAUCUCUGGGCCGUAACUGACGCUGAGGAGCGAAAGCAUGGGGAGCGAACAGG